UUGCAGGACUGAAUUUUGAAAGGAUUUCGACACUUUUUUCUGGUUUGCAGUAUGGAUCUGGCAUUGACCUUACAAAUUAGGGUGUCGCUCUUGGUUCAUUGAUGAGGACAAGGUUUUAAAAUCUUUUAUUAAGUGCUUGUCAUACUCGCAUAUGUACUAUGCUGUAACAUUUGAGGCUUAGUAAAAGAAGCAAAUGGGACCUUCUUCAAGGUGAGCACAGUCUUCUAGGUCAGGAACUAAAAGUUAAUUUUCGGUGGAGGGGAUAUUUUAUGAGUCCCACGACCUUGCCGUUAUUCCCUGGAAAUGGUAAAAAAUUCCAAAUUUCAUCUUUAUCCUUUUAUUGGCCGAGUUGCACUGUAAUCAAGUAUGCUACAAAUCAAGAAAGGCUAAACCCAUGUCUUUGUAGUUAUACUACAAUACAAUUGUUAUAAUGAUGUUGAAAAGUACUUUUUUUAACUCAAAAUUGUAACAAAUACUGUCACAUGUUUAGGAGAAGGCGAUUGGAUGAGGUAUGUCUUGAAAGGUUCCAGCAAUAUAGCCGGACAUUCAUUCAAUCAUGGAUCAUACAAGGUUAGUUGCUCAGCAACUUCUACUUAUUUAUUUUUUUUAAAUUACUGCCUAACUUCAAUAGCUUUAUAGGUGUGCUACUUAAUGACAAGUAGUAGC
rnacentral:lncRNA from 1 species